rnacentral:rRNA from 1 species
GAUGAACGCUGGCGGCGUGCCUAAUACAUGCAAGUCGAACGCAUAGCGAAAGGUGCUUGCACCUUUCAAGUGAGUGGCGAACGGGUGAGUAACACGUGGACAACCUGCCUCAAGGCUGGGGAUAACAUUUGGAAACAGAUGCUAAUACCGAAUAAAACUUAGUGUCGCAUGACACAAAGUUAAAAGGCGCUUCGGCGUCACCUCGAGAUGGAUCCGCGGUGCAUUAGUUAGUUGGUGGGGUAAAGGCCUACCAAGACAAUGAUGCAUAGCCGAGUUGAGAGACUGAUCGGCCACAUUGGGACUGAGACACGGCCCAAACUCCUACGGGAGGCUGCAGUAGGGAAUCUUCCACAAUGGGCGAAAGCCUGAUGGAGCAACGCCGCGUGUGUGAUGAAGGCUUUCGGGUCGUAAAGCACUGUUGUAUGGGAAGAACAGCUAGAAUAGGAAAUGAUUUUAGUUUGACGGUACCAUACCAGAAAGGGACGGCUAAAUACGUG